rnacentral:rRNA from 1 species
AGCAACGCCGCGUGAGGGAUGACGGCCUUCGGGUUGUAAACCUCUUUUAGCAGGGAAGAAGCGAAAGUGACGGUACCUGCAGAAAAAGCGCCGGCUAACUACGUGCCAGCAGCCGCGGUAAUACGUAGGGCGCAAGCGUUAUCCGGAAUUAUUGGGCGUAAAGAGCUCGUAGGCGGUUUGUCGCGUCUGCUGUGAAAUCCCGAGGCUCAACCUCGGGCCUGCAGUGGGUACGGGCAGACUAGAGUGCGGUAGGGGAGAUUGGAAUUCCUGGUGUAGCGGUGGAAUGCGCAGAUAUCAGGAGGAACACCGAUGGCGAAGGCAGAUCUCUGGGCCGUAACUGACGCUGAGGAGCGAAAGGGUGGGGAGCAAACAGGCUUAGAUACCCUGGUAGUCCACCCCGUAAACGUUGGGAACUAGUUGUGGGGUCCAUUCCACGGAUUCCGUGACGCAGCUAACGCAUUAAGU